rnacentral:lncRNA from 1 species
AUGCCUGGGGGUCUCCCCCAUCCCCACCAAUCCCCCCCUUUUCCCCCAGCCUCUCUCCCAUUCCUUACCCCGUUCCCAGGCUCUCUCCCAUCGCCCUUCCCACCUCCACACUUCGCUCCCGUUGCCACCCCAGCCCCCACACAGCUCUUCCAUUGCCCCCCCCACGCACCCAGGGCCCCCUCCCCAUUUGCACCCCCACCCCUGGGCUCUCCCAUCACGCACCCCAUCUCUGGGGGUCUCUCCCAUCGCCCCCUCAGCCCCCAGGCUUUCUCCCAUCGCCCCCCCCCGGUCCUGGGGGUCUCUCCAUUGCCACCUUGGUGCCCAGGGGUCCCUCCCAGUGCCUCCCAAAGGCUCAGGGCUCUUUCCCCCCCCCCGUGGUCUCCCCCAUCGCAUGCCCCACUCCCAUCUGGCCUCACAGGUGGUGGUGCUCUCCCCCAUUGCAUCCCCCCACCUCCACAACUCUUCCCCUUUCCUCCCACAGCUCCCCCCCAUUCUUUACCAAAGCCCCUGGGCUCUCCCCCAUUGUGUGCCCCACAGCCCAGGGCUCUCUCCCCCUUUCCACCCCAGUCCAUGGGGGUCUCUCCCAUCUCACAUCCCAUUCUGGGGGGGCUGUGUUUGUCAUCUCCCCCCAGGGUCUCUCCCAUUGCCUUCCCCAGUGCUCAGUGCUCUCUCCCCUCCCCAUCCCCAUCACUGGGGGUCUCCCCAUUGCCACCUCAGCCCCCAAGGUUUCUCCAUGGGCUCCCACCGUUCACAGGGGUCUCUCCCAGUGCCUCCAGCAGCACCCGGGGGUCCUUUCCCAUUGCCCCCCCACCUCCAGAAGCCCCCUCCCUUCCCCUCCCGGCCCCUUGGGGUCCCUCACACCCCAUACCCCAUUCCCAGGGUUCACCCCUAUGGCCCCUGUGGUCCCCAUGGGCUUCUCCUGUUCCCUUCCCCUCAGCCCAGGGCUCUCUCCCCCUUUCCACCCCAGUCCAUGGGGGUCUCUCCCAUCUCACAUCCCAUUCCGGGUGGCUGGGCUGUUUGUCAUCCCCCGCCCCCCAGGGUCUCCCCCGUUCCCUUCCCCAAUUCUUGGUGCUUUCUCCCCUUCCCCCCCAUCAUGGGGGUCUCUCCAUUGCCACCUCAGCCCCCAGUGUUUCUCCCAUUGCCCCCACUGCCCCUCGUGCUCUCUCCCAUUGCUCCCACCAGCACCUGGGGGUCUUUCCCGUUGCCCCCCACCCCCAGGGCUCUCUCCCAUCACCCUUCCCACCCCCCCGGUUCACUUAUCACCACCUCAGGGACGUUUUCCCUUCGUCCCUCCCAUUUCAGCACGUAUCCCCUUUCCCACUCCAUUCUUUUGGCUUCCCUAUUGUCCCCCCCACCUCCAGAAGCCCCCUCCCUUCCCCUCCUCACCCCUUGGUGUCUCUCACACCCCACACCUGA